rfam:Colius striatus contig35686, whole genome shotgun sequence.
AUGCAGUGAUGAUCUCUUAAAUUGUGCAUUCAACUAACUGAUUGUUGAAUGAAGAUAUAAAUUUUUUUGGCUAUGUCUGAGCAU